rnacentral:rRNA from 1 species
UACAGAGGAUGCAAGCGUUAUCCGGAAUGAUUGGGCGUAAAGCGUCUGUAGGUGGCUUUUUAAGUCCGCCGUCAAAUCCCAGGGCUCAACUCUGGACAGGCGGUGGAAACUACCAAGCUGGAGUACGGUAGGGGCAGAGGGAAUUUCCGGUGGAGCGGUGAAAUGCGUUGAUAUCGUUAGGAACUCCGGUGGCGAAAGCGGCGUGCUGGAUCUCUUCUGACGCUGAGGCUCGAAAGCUAGGGGAGCAAACGGG